UCGUUUCGUUUUUCAUUUUCGCUUUUGUUUAACGUUUUUAUCUUCAUUAAAAAUAAAUCCAAAUUCACGUUAAAAGCGUCGAUUAUUUCAUUUAGAUGUAUGCAUAUUAAAGAGAAAAAUUAGGGAUAAGAAAAAGAAGAAUAAAAGAGAAAUGAUAAAAAGGAAGAAGAAAAAAAAAAAGGAAAAAGAAAAAAGAAAAAAAAAAGGAAAAAGAAAAAACAAAUAAAAACAAAGAAAUUUUUUUGACCCACUUAAAAAUUCAAUUCAAAUCGAUAAAAUAUUAAAGACGACGAUGACGACUUAUCUACAAAUUCGCGUAUAGAUCGAAUCUCUUGUACGCUCCUGGGGCAUGCGCAUAAAUGGAUUUGUUAGGAGUAUGAAGAAGUGUGAUCGUGGAAUAAUCGGGUUGAUCGAUAAAGAGAAAAGAAGAAGAAGAAGAAGAAGAAGAAGAAGAAGAAGAAUAAGAAGAAGAAGAAGAAGAAGAAAAAGUAGGAGGAGGGAAGAAAAAAAAAGAAGAGGAAAGAGAAAAAAAAAAAGGAAACAUGUGAUGGGUCAUUGUUGUGAAGGUGAAUGUACUAAGGAAGUUUUUUUUUUUUCUUCGGUGAAAAAAAUUGUUCGAAAGAAAAGAUUGUGAACAUUGAUUAGCGAUAGCAAUGAGGCCGAGGACGAGGACGAGGACGAGGAAGAGGACGUGGAAGAGAAGGCCGGCAACCCUCGCAGUACAGGUAUCGUCGCGUUGCUGUGUACACGUAUCAUCAUUGGAAAGCUCCUCUCUUCUCUCAUUCUAAACUGACAUCCUCAUAGAAUCGAUAUUGUCGUGAGACUUAUAUUUUGAGAUAAAGAGAGAGAGAGAGAGAGAGAGAGAGAGAGAGAGAGAGAGAGAGAGAGAGAGAGAGAGAAAGA